rnacentral:lncRNA from 1 species
GGGCAUCUCUCCUCUGCUCCAGUCCCACUGCCCCCCGGGAGGAGUUCUUUGGUCUCUGCCUCCAAGGCAAGCAACCGAUCUCCUGCCAAUAUGUGCAGUUGGAGCACAUUUCCUCCAGCGGUUAUCCUACCGAGGACAGAGACGGCGGAAGGCCAAUUACAGCAACCUGAAAAGGAUGCAGACUAUUCAGUCCUCCUGGCGGAAGGAACGGCAGCGCCCCCCGGAGGCAGCAAGUUGAAAGGCAACUACAUGCGCACACAGCCGCCCCUCCUGAGUCCCCUCUGCGCUAGAAAGGGAAAGAACGGCCUGAAAGAAAUGUCAAAUGAGGGGAAAAAAUAGACCACAGAAUUUUUGACUGGGACUGCGCUUUCCUGCAUUUUAGCCACUUUCAUGAUGGACUGUUGUUAAUUGCAAAACAAAAAUUAACAAAAAUUAACGCAAAGAACAAAACUCACCAGGUAUCUGGUGGUGAGAGCAGCACGGGGUGGCUGGCAGGGCUGAGAUUAUUCCCUCAGAAAGGGGUGCUGAUUCUAGAGACGUGCAAAAGCUUUUUUCUUGUGUUCAGUUUGAACCAAAGCAAAGAGAGGCUGGUUCAGUCUGAAUGUGAACCUUUUUCUUCAAUCAGCAGUGCGUUUGGUUCAACUGGAACGCCUUCAGAGCUCAGGCUGAACAGGGUAUGAUCACUAGGCUGGUUAGCAGACUCCUUUGUUCGGUUCAAAUUCAAACUCUGCUUUUCAAACAGGCAGGGUGUUUGGGUCAAACGCAAACAUUUUGAACCCCCUGUCUGAUUCAAACCAGUUUGAACCUGGACGAGGUUGAUCCCCCUGUGGUUCACUCCCUGUUAUGGUGAAGCAAUUCUGGGUUUCUCCAGAUUCACUCUGUGCUCAGAGAGCAAGAGGGUCCUUGCAAGCUAACCUAGGAGAGAGACCCAAUGGCCACACCUCACCUUCGACCGCCAGGUGCCUGAGUGGGCCGCCUAAGGCGUCAUCUCUCCCCUUUCUCUAGGGCCCAACAGCAUGAGGCUGGUGAUGAGGGUGCAAAAGGGCACAGAGGUGGCGCCUCAGUCGUGAUGCCUUUGGUUGCCCUCCUGCACAGAAACGGGGACCCAGGGGUACCUGGAGAUGCUGCAGAGGGGCACUCCGCCAGUCUUAGGGCCUACACACAGAUAAAAGGGAGAACAUUACUGCUUUUCGAGGGAAUAAUCUUAGCUCCAGCGAUGACUGAAAUCUUCCAUCUCAGAUGCCUCCUCCGAUGCUCGUGGAGAAAUAGCCACCAUUUACUGCUCUCGUCAGCACCAAGUUGAUGUGUAUUAAUGUUUCAGCAUUCACAGCAUCAGUGA